AGCGAACGCUGGCGGCAGGCCUAAACAUGCAAGUCGAACGCCGUAGCAAUACGGAGUGGCAGACGGGUGAGUAACACGUGGGAACAUACCCUUUGGUUCGGAACAACACAGGGAAACUUGUGCUAAUACCGGAUAAGCCCUUACGGGGAAGAUUAUCGCCAAAGGAUUGGCCCGCGUCUGAUUAGCUAGUUGGUGGGGAACGGCCCGACCAAGGCUACGAUCAGUAGCUGGUCUGAGAGGAUGAUCAGCCACACUGGGACGUGAGACACGGCCCAGACUCCUACGGGAGGCGAGCAGUUAGGGAAUCUUGGACAAUGGGCGCAAGCCUGAUCCAGCCAUGCCGCGUGAGUGAUGAAGGCCUUA
rnacentral:rRNA from 1 species